rnacentral:lncRNA from 1 species
GCAACCGUGACGCCGCGGGCUGACUUCGGGCGAGAGCAGGAGCUGGGAGCGCGGCUGCUGAGUAUGCGAGGAUAGGCAGGGGCGCGCAGUGACGGCGUGCGCUGCUGGGUCACGGCGUGGGGCUGCUGCUCGGAGCUUCGGUGGUGGCUGGGAGGGAAGAGAUCGCGCGGCAAUAGAGCCGCGCGGUGGCGGCGAGCUGAGUGGCGCGCAUUGGGCGAAAGUCUUGCGUGCGGUGAUAUGGAGGGGAGGACGCAAGUGGGCGGCGGACAGAGGGCUUCGGUCGACAGAGAGGAAGAAGAAACAGGGGAGAAGAAAGAAAGAAAAGAGAAAGA